UACGGAGGAUCCAAGCGUUGUCCGGAUUUAUUGGGUUUAAAGGGUGCGUAGGCGGAUGAUUAAGUCAGUGGUGAAAGCCGGCAGCUCAACUGUCGAACUGCCAUUGAAACUGAUCGUCUUGAAUGUAGUAGAGGUAGGCGGAAUGUAUCAUGUAGCGGUGAAAUGCUUAGAUAUGAUACAGAACACCAAUUGCGAAAGCAGCUUACUAUACUAUUAUUGACGCUGAGGCACGAAAGCGUGGGGAUCAAACAGG
rnacentral:rRNA from 1 species